ACGGCCAUACCAUGCUGAAAUUCUCGUUAGAUCACCGAAGUCAAGCAUUAAUGGGCGCGGUCAGUACUUGAGUGGGUGACCACCUGGGAAAAACACCGCGUGCC